CUGUUUACUUUGGUGAAUAUCAGUAUCUGCGGUAGCAGUGUUUGUUUGUUCAAGGGUUUUUGAUAUUUUAAGUAGCAAGACUUUGUGAUACUGGGGUUGAUACAAUGUGAUAUGGCUGUCAAAUCUGUACACAUUUCAGUUUGUUUUAACUAUGAGGUUACAUGAUAGCGCCCAGUGGGGCUUUAAAAAUGUCUUGAAUGGAAACUUUUCAAACAGGAAGUUUAGAAUCCCUUAAUAAGCAGCGAGUUUAACUGUCAUCUUAAGUGGACAUAUAAUAUUAAAAGUUUCAGUAAAGUAAGUCUUGGAUAUACGGUACGUGUUUACAAGUGUGAGUGUGUUUGUAGUAGACAUCUCUGCGUAGUUUGUUUAACACGGAAGCUUACACCCGGUGCCUGGCGUCAGCGUGGCUGUUGUUACUGCUACUUUGUCAUCAAGUCCUCUCGGCACCAACGCAACAACGAGCUAGCGCCCCUGAGUGGAAGAAGUUCUUUGUGUCUCAACGUACGGCCAUUGUCAAUGACAGCACGAAACUCUUCUGCAAGGUGAAAGGCACGCCCCGCCCAUUUAUCGAGUGGUUUAAAAAUGGGGAAGCACUUGCGGAUGGCAAGCGAUGAUGCCACGCCCCCCUUGAGUAUGACGAUACUGAUCCCUUUAGUUCUGUAGCA